rnacentral:rRNA from 1 species
CAGCCGUAAACUAUGCUCGCUAGGUGUCAGGGACGGUGCGACCGUUUCUGGUGCCGCAGGGAAGCCGUGAAGCGAGCCACCUGGGAAGUACGGUCGCAAGGCUGAAACUUAAAGGAAUUGGCGGGGGAGCACCACAACGGGUGGAGCUUGCGGUUUAAUUGGAUUCAACGCCGGAAAUCUUACCGGGACCGACAGCAACAUGAAGGCCAGGCUGAAGACUUUGCCGGAUUAGCUGAGAGGAGGUGCAUGGCGUAGUCGUGU